UGAGGAAUAUUGGUCAAUGGGCGCAAGCCUGAACCAGCCAUCCCGCGUGCAGGAAGACGGCCCUAUGGGUUGUAAACUGCUUUUCCAGGGAGAGAAACCUGCGCACGUGUUGCGCAAUUGACGGUACCCUGGGAAUAAGCAUCGGCUAACUCCGUGCCAGCAGCCGCGGUAAUACGGAGGAUGCAAGCGUUAUCCGGAUUCAUUGGGUUUAAAGGGUGCGUAGGCGGACUAUUAAGUCAGUGGUGAAAGCCUGCAGCUUAACUGCAGAACUGCCAUUGAUACUGAUAGUCUUGAGUUUGGUUAAGGUAGGCGGAAUGUGUAAUGUAGCGGUGAAAUGCUUAGAUAUUACACAGAACACCAAUUGCGUAGGCAGCUUACUGAGCCGACACUGACGCUGAGGCACGAAAGCGUGGGGAUCGAACAGGAU
rnacentral:rRNA from 1 species